rnacentral:rRNA from 1 species
GACGAACGCUGGCGGCGUGCCUAAUACAUGCAAGUUGAGCGAUGAAGAUUGGUGCUUGCACCAAUUUGAAGAGCAGCGAACGGGUGAGUAACGCGUGGGGAAUCUGCCUUUGAGCGGGGGACAACAUUUGGAAACGAAUGCUAAUACCGCAUAAUAACUUUAAACAUAAGUUUUAAGUUUGAAAGAUGCAAUUGCAUCACUCAAAGAUGAUCCCGCGUUGUAUUAGCUAGUUGGUGAGGUAAAGGCUCACCAAGGCGAUGAUACAUAGCCGACCUGAGAGGGUGAUCGGCCACAUUGGGACUGCAACACGGCCCAAACUCCUACGGGAGACAGCAGUAGGGAAUCUUCGGCAAUGGACGAAAGUCUGACCGAGCAACGCCGCGUGAGUGAAGAAGGUUUUCGGAUCGUAAAACUCUGUUGGUAGAGAAGAACGUUGGUGAGAGUGGAAAGCUCAUCAAGUGACGGUAACUACCCAGAAAGGGACGGCUAACUCCGUG